UGGGGAAUCUUCCGCAAUGGACGAAAGUCUGACGGAGCAACGCCGCGUGUAUGAUGAAGGUCUUCGGAUUGUAAAGUACUGUCAUUGGGGAAGAACGGUUUUCUUGAAAAGAUUGAGAAGACAUGACGGUACCCAAGGAGGAAGCCCCGGCUAACUACGUGCCAGCAGCCGCGGUAAUACGUAGGGGGCAAGCGUUGUCCGGAAUUAUUGGGCGUAAAGGGCGCGUAGGCGGGCCUUUAAGUCCGGUGUGAAAGAUCAGGGCUCAACCCUGAGAGUGCAUCGGAAACUGGAGGCCUUGAGGACAGGAGAGGAAAGUGGAAUUCCACGUGUAGCGGUGAAAUGCGUAGAUAUGUGGAGGAACACCAGUGGCGAAGGCGACUUUCUGGACUGUAACUGACGCUGAGGCGCGAAAAGCGUGGGGAGCAAACAGGAUUAGAUACCCUGGUAGUCCACGCCGUAAAACGAUGAGUGCUAGGUGUAGAGGGUAUCGACCCCUUCUGUGCCGCAGUUAACACAAUAAGCACUCCCGCCUGGGGAGUACGGCCGCAAAGGUUGAAAACUUUAAAAUGAAAUUGACGGGGGUCAUAGCUGUUUUCCU
rnacentral:rRNA from 1 species